rnacentral:rRNA from 1 species
UGGGGAAUCUUGGACAAUGGGCGCAAGCCUGAUCCAGCCAUGCCGCGUGAGUAAUGAAGGCCUUAGGGUUGUAAACUGCUUUUGCGUGGGACGAUAACGACGGUACCACGCGAAUCAGCCCCGGCUAACUCUGUGCCAGCAGCCGCGGUAAUACAGAGGGGGCAAGCGUUGUUCGGACUUACUGGGCGUAAAGCGCGCGCAGGUGGUAACGCAAGUGGGGUGUGAAAGCCGCCAGCUUAACUGGCGGAGGCCAUCCCAAACUGCGUCACUUGAGGCCUGUAGAGGUAUGUGGAAUUGCCGGUGUAGUGGUGAAAUGCGUAGAGAUCGGCAGGAACACCCAGGGGGAAACCAGCAUACUGGACAGGUCCUGACACUCAGGUGCGACAGCGUGGGGAGCGAACCGGAUUAGAUACCCCGGUAGUCC